rnacentral:rRNA from 1 species
GACGAACGCUGGCGGCGGGCCUAAUACAUGCAAGUCGAACGCAGUGGGGACGGGUGAGUAACACGUGGGUAACCUCCCAUCAGAGGGGAUAACACUUGGAAACAGGUGCUAAACCGAUACUGAUGUAUGGACCCGCUGAGCAUUAGCUAGUUGGUGAGGUAACGUCUCACCAAGGCCACGAUGCAUAGCCGAUCUGAGAGGGUGACCGGCCACACUGGGACUGAGAAACGGUCCAGACUCCUACGGGAGGCAGCAGUGGGGAAGAUUGCGCAAUGGGCGCAAGCCUGAUGCAGCCAUGCCGCGUGUGUGAAGAAGGCCUUCGGGUUGUAAAGCACUUUCAGCGGGGAGGCGUUACUCGCAGAAGAAGCACCGGCUAACUCCGUGCCAGCAGCCGCGGUAAUAC